rnacentral:rRNA from 1 species
CCUACGGGUGGCUGCAGUGGGGAAUAUUGGGCAAUGGGCGCAAGCCUGACCCAGCCACGCCGCGUGAAGGAAGAAGGCUUUCUGGUUGUAAACUUCUUUUAUGAGGGACGAAGGAAGUGACGGUACCUCAUGAAUAAGCCACGGCUAACUACGUGCCAGCAGCCGCGGUAAUACGUAGGUGGCGAGCGUUCUCCGGAUUUACUGGGUGUAAAGGGCGUGUAGGCGGUCUUGCAAGUCAGAUGUGAAAAAUAUGGGCUCAACCCAUAGCCUGCAUUUGAAACUGUAGGUCUUGAGUGAAGGAGAGGCAGGCGGAAUGCGGUGUGUAGCGGUGAAAUGCGUAGAUAUACGGAGGAACACCAGUGGCGAAGGCGGCCUGCUGGACAUUAACUGACGCUGAAGCGCGAAAGCGUGGGGAGCAAACAGGAUUAGAUACCCGAGUAGUC